rnacentral:rRNA from 1 species
GAUGAACGCUGGCGGCGUGCCUAAUACAUGCAAGUCGAGCGAAUGGAUUGAGAGCUUGCUCUUAUGAAGUUAGCGGCGGACGGGUGAGUAACACGUGGGUAACCUGCCCAUAAGACUGGGAUAACUCCGGGAAACCGGGGCUAAUACCGGAUAACAUUUUGAACCGCAUGGUUCGAAAUUGAAAGGCGGCUUCGGCUGUCACUUAUGGAUGGACCCGGGUCGCAUUAGCUAGUUGGUGAGGUAACGGCUCACCAAGGCAACGAUGCGUAGCCGACGUGAGGGGGUGAUGGGCCACACUGGUAAUGAGACACGGCCCAGACUCCUACGGGAGGCAGCAGUAGGGAAUCUUCCGAAAUGGACGAAAGUCUGACGGAGCAACGCCGCGUGAGUGAUGAAGGCUUUCGGGUCGUAAAACUCUGUUGUUAGGGAAGAACAAGUGCUAGUUGAAUAAGCUGGCACCUUGACGGUACCUAACCAGAAAGCCACGGCUAACUACGUGCCAGCCGCCGCAGUAA